UUAACACAUGCAAGUCGAACGAUGAUGCCCAGCUUGCUGGGCGGAUUAGUGGCGAACGGGUGAGUAAUACGUGAGUAACCUGCCCUUGACUCUGGGAUAAGCCUGGGAAACUGGGUCUAAUACUGGAUACUACCUCUUGCCGCAUGGUGGGUGGUGGAAAGGGUUUUACUGGUUUUGGAUGGGCUCACGGCCUAUCAGCUUGUUGGUGGGGUAAUGGCUCACCAAGGCGACGACGGGUAGCCGGCCUGAGAGGGUGACCGGCCACACUGGGACUGAGACACGGCCCAGACUCCUACGGGAGGCAGCAGUGGGGAAUAUUGCACAAUGGGCGGAAGCCUGAUGCAGCGACGCCGCGUGAGGGAUUGACGGCCUUCGGAGUUGUAAACCUCUUUCAGUAGGGAAGAAGCGAGAGUGACGGUACCUGCAGAAAGAAGCGCCGGCUAACUACGUGCCAGCAGCCGCGGUAAUACGUAGGGCGCAAGCGUUGUCCGGGAAUUAUUGGGCGUAAAGAGCUCGUAGGCGGUUUGUCGCGUCUGCUGUGAAAGCCCGGGGCUCAACCCCGGGUCUGCAGUGGGUACGGGCAGACUAGAGUGCAGUAGGGGAGACUGGAAUUCCUGGUGUAGCGGUGAAAUGCGCAGAUAUCAGGAGGAACACCGAUGGCGAAGGCAGGUCUCUGGGCUGUUACUGACGCUGAGGAGCGAAAGCAUGGGGAGCGAACAGGAUUAGAUACCCUGGUAGUCCAUGCCGUAAACGUUGGGCACUAGGUGUGGGGGACAUUCCACGUUUUCCGCGCCGUAGCUAACGCAUUAAGUGCCCCGCCUGGGGAGUACGGCCGCAAGGCUAAAACUCAAAGGAAUUGACGGGGGCCCGCACAAGCGGCGGAGCAUGCGGAUUAAUUCGAUGCAACGCGAAGAACCUUACCAAGGCUUGACAUUCACCGGACCGCCCCAGAGAUGGGGUUUCCCUUCGGGGCUGGUGGACAGGUGGUGCAUGGUUGUCGUCAGCUCGUGUCGUGAGAUGUUGGGUUAAGUCCCGCAACGAGCGCAACCCUCGUUCUAUGUUGCCAGCACGUGAUGGUGGGGACUCAUAGGAGACUGCCGGGGUCAACUCGGAGGAAGGUGGGGAUGACGUCAAAUCAUCAUGCCCCUUAUGUCUUGGGCUUCACGCAUGCUACAAUGGCCGGUACAAAGGGUUGCGAUACUGUGAGGUGGAGCUAAUCCCAAAAAGCCGGUCUCAGUUCGGAUUGAGGUCUGCAACUCGACCUCAUGAAGUCGGAGUCGCUAGUAAUCGCAGAUCAGCAACGCUGCGGUGAAUACGUUCCCGGGCCUUGUACACACCGCCCGUCAAGUCACGAAAGUUGGUAACACCCGAAGCCGGUGGCCUAACCCCUUGUGGGAGGGAGCCGUCGAA
rnacentral:rRNA from 1 species